UUGGGAGCUCUCCCAUAUGGUCGACCUGCAGGCGGCCGCGAAUUCACUAGUGAUUCGUAUUACCGCGGCUGCUGGCACGUAGUUGGCCGGUGCUUCUUCUGCAGGUACCGUCACUUUCGCUUCGUCCCUGCUGAAAGAGGUUUACAACCCGAAGGCCUUCGUCCCUCACGCGGCGUCGCUGCGUCAGGCUUUCGCCCAUUGCGCAAUAUUCCCCACUGCUGCCUCCCGUAGGAGUCUGGGCCGUGUCUCAGUCCCAGUGUGGCUGAUCAUCCUCUCAGACCAGCUACUGAUCGUAGCCUUGGUGGGCCGUUACCCCACCAACUAGCUAAUCAGACGCGGGCCGAUCCUUUGGCGAUAAAUCUUUCCCCGUAAGGGCUUAUCCGGUAUUAGCACAAGUUUCCCUGUGUUGUUCCGAACCAAAGGGUACGUUCCCACGUGUUACUCACCCGUCUGCCACUCCGUAUUGCUACGGCGUUCGACUUGCAUGUUUUAGGCCUGCCGCCAGCGUUCGCUCUGAGCCAUGAUCAAACUCUAAUCGAAUUCCCGCGGCCGCCAUGGCGGCCGGGAGCAUGCGACGUCGGGCCCAA
rnacentral:rRNA from 1 species